rnacentral:tmRNA from 1 species
CCGCUUGAUUUCUUUACUUUUUUAACUAUAAUUAUUAUGUCCCUUUUGGGAAGAUGAUUCUGAAUCCUCUAUAAAAUAGGCUUCUUGGACUGGGGGGCGGUACCCCACAGCUCCACCAAUAAAAAAUAUGGGGCUGACAUAGAUUCGACAACUGCAUUAAAAAUAGUCGGGUGAAUUCGGCGUUGCUGCCGCAAAAAGCUGAAAAACUAUGAAUGGCGAUACUUUCGCUGCGAACGACAAUGUUCGCUAUGCAAUGGCUGCCUAAGGGCGCGGGCCCAAUGCCGGCAAUUGUUGGCCGGGCCCACCGUUAUUGCGGCGCUUUCCCGUGUGCGUGUCACCAGAAACACGGGGACU